rnacentral:rRNA from 1 species
AUUGAACGCUGGCGGCAGGCUUAACACAUGCAAGUCGAGCGGGGGAAGGUAGCUUGCUACUGGACCUAGCGGCGGACGGGUGAGUAAUGCUUAGGAAUCUGCCUAUUAGUGGGGGACAACAUCUCGAAAGGGAUGCUAAUACCGCAUACGUCCUACGGGAGAAAGCAGGGGAUCGUCGGACCUUGCGCUCAUAGAUGAGCCUAAGUCGGGUUAGCUAGUUGGUGGGGUAAAGGCCUACCAAGGCGACGAUCUGUAGCGGGUCUGAGAGGAUGAUCCGCCACACUGGGACUGAGACACGGCCCAGACUCCUACGGGAGGCAGCAGUGGGGAAUAUUGGACAAUGGGGGGAACCCUGAUCCAGCCAUGCCGCGUGUGUGAAGAAGGCCUUAUGGUUGUAAAGCACUUUAAGCGAGGAGGAGGCUGCUCUAGUUAAUACCUAGGGAUAGUGGACGUUACUCGCAGAAUAAGCACCGGCUAACUCUGUGCCAGCCGCCGCCGUAA